rnacentral:rRNA from 1 species
CCUACGGGAGGCAGCAGUGGGGAAUAUUGGACAAUGGGGGGAACCCUGAUCCAGCGACGCCGCGUGAGUGAAGAAGUAUUUCGGUAUGUAAAGCUCUAUCAGCAGGGAAGAAAGAAAUGACGGUACCUGACUAAGAAGCCCCGGCUAACUACGUGCCAGCAGCCGCGGUAAUACGUAGGGGGCAAGCGUUAUCCGGAUUUACUGGGUGUAAAGGGAGCGUAGACGGCAGUGCAAGUCUGGAGUGAAAGGCGGGGGCUCAACCCCCGGACUGCUCUGGAAACUGUACGGCUGGAGUGCAGGAGAGGUAAGUGGAAGUCCUAGUGUAGCGGUGAAAUGCGUAGAUAUUAGGAGGAACACCAGUGGCGAAGGCGGCUUACUGGACUGUAACUGACGUUGAGGCUCGAAAGCGUGGGGAGCAAACAGGAUUAGAUACCCGGGUAGUC